rnacentral:rRNA from 1 species
GUCUCCCCGCUCUAAUCAGUGAAACUGAUCUCCCCGUGAAGAAGCGGGGAUAAACAUAUAAGACGAGAAGACCCCAUGGAGCUUUAAACCCGACAGCACCCGCUUUUUCUAUAUCCUCUUAUACACCCGACGUCUGUCUGCUCGGUUUUAGGUUGGGGUGACCGCGGAGCAUAAAACAACCUCCAUGAAAAAGGAUGAUUCCCUUAUUUAAGAACCACACUUCCAGAAAAUAAUAGAUUAAUUUUAAUUGAUCCGAUAUUACAUUCGAUCAACGAACCAAGUUACCCUGGGGAUAACAGCGCAAUCCGCCCCGAGAGCCCAUAUCGACAGGCG